rnacentral:rRNA from 1 species
UAGGGAAUCUUCGGCAAUGGGGGCAACCCUGACCGAGCAACGCCGCGUGAGUGAAGAAGGUUUUCGGAUCGUAAAGCUCUGUUGUAAGAGAAGAACGUGUGUGAGAGUGGAAAGUUCACACAGUGACGGUAACUUACCAGAAAGUGACGGCUAACUACGUGCCAGCAGCCGCGGUAAUACGUAGGUCCCGAGCGUUGUCCGGAUUUAUUGGGCGUAAAGCGAGCGCAGGCGGUUUAAUAAGUCUGAAGUUAAAGGCAGUGGCUUAACCAUUGUUCGCUUUGGAAACUGUUAAACUUGAGUGCAGAAGGGGAGAGUGGAAUUCCAUGUGUAGCGGUGAAAUGCGUAGAUAUAUGGAGGAACACCGGUGGCGAAAGCGGCUCUCUGGUCUGUAACUGACGCUGAGGCUCGAAAGCGUGGGGAGCAAACAGG